CCCAAGAAUUCGAAGCAUUUUGUAAACAAUGAAUUAAAAUUACAAUUUAUGUCUUAAUUAGACAGAAGUAACUGACAAAUAGGACCUUUUUGAAACCCCCAUUUAAUAGCAGUCCUAAAUAUGAUUUAAAAAGUUUAAUAUCAGUCCGUUGAAGCAAAGAAAGUGGAAAAUCCUCAACCGUUAAUUGGUCCAGAUGCUAAUGGACAUCAAGAUCAAUUUACUCAGACCACUUGACAAAGUCUCCAACUGGGCAUUGAGUGUGGCCAACAGCCAUUUCCGGGAUUUUUCUAAAAAAAUCGCGCCAGUCGUUUUCUCACAACUCUAAAUGAAUCUGCGAUUUCAAAUUCCGUCGCGAAAAUUUCUUUAGAAAAUUUCGAUUUUUAUUCCGUUUAACGUCCCAAUUCGAGCCUGUCCAAGAUGAGCGUAAAAUCAAUUCACAAGCCAUGCCAUAUUUAUUGCCGGAAUGACAAUGGAAGCGAUUGAGUCUGUAAAUAGGCAAAAUUAUCGUGCGGAACCGAAUCAUUUUGGAGAGCUAAUAAUUGAGGAGCAAAGGCAUCGUCCCAGCGCAUUUCAUAAGCCUCAUUUUGCUGUAAACGAUAAAAGAAUAAUGAAACCACCGAGUGAGGCAAAAACACAAAAUUUGUUCCACUUUUGAUGGCUAGCGAGAUUCAGGAGCAUGGUACGGAGUUUAAAGAGUACCGUGACUGCUUCCACGAUUCUAUUAGUCAAGAGCGGUAUCACAAUUUUACCAUUGAUCAUUCUUCUAAUUGCUUCAACAUCUGUUUGAUGAAAUAUAUAGCGCUUCUUGGUUUUAUUUUUAUUUACCUCUGAAAAUCCAUACUUAUAUUAUCGCGGAAUCAUUGCGGACUCCUAAAAACAACAAUCGUUAACUUACUGGCUAAGAGAGGCAGCACUGCCCAGA